rnacentral:lncRNA from 1 species
CCUCUUACAUUUUUUAUAUGUAUCUUUUGAAAUUUCUAAAAUACCUUAUAUUUAUAUAUUAAUUAGUACAAUUUUUUCGUAUUUAAUUGUUUUUGGCGCGUGGACUAUUCCCAUCAUCGUAUUACAUAUAGUAGUAGAAGAAGAUUAUUAUAAAUGUCAAAAAAAAAAAAAAAGUAAUGCUUAAGAAGGUUGACUUUUUGCUUCCAAAGGCAAAAGACUUCAAAGCAAAGGAGCAGCAUCAAUUUAGUGACGUCAUUUGACGUAGAUUAUGACAUCAGCGACUCCCUUAUUGGGUCACAUGUGGCCCCAGCCCAGGCCUUUUAAGUUUUAACUGUC